rnacentral:lncRNA from 1 species
AACCUAAAACUUUUGUUCACCAGCCGCUCAACUUUUCAGUCUGAGGCUGAGCUGGAACCUGCAGCAAGGCUUUGACGGUACCAAAUUACAUAUAGAUCUGUCAAAAUGAUGUAAGACCUGAAAUUGCUCUGUAAGUUGAUCCUCUUUGACCCCCAUGAUUUGGAGCUUCACAGUAUGGCACCACACCUGGAAACCUGCCGUGCAAGAUCUCAAACAGGCACAGGAAAUUCCUGGAACAGCAAUGCAUCCUAGUUGAAGACAUCCAGUUAUCCCUCAGUGCAACAGAAGCAUCACUGUUAAUUAACUGCUGAUAUGCUUGAAAGAGUUUGUUUGGCAGUGGUCUUGUGGAGAGAGCCGAACCAGGUGUAUUUUUAGAAUGCUGUAGACAAUGCUGUCAUAGUCAGUUAACUUCUACAUCUCAUGGCCUUAACAAAUGCGUCCAUUUUUAUUCUUUCAAAAUCUUGUGCAAGAUGGUAGACAGCUAUUGAUAUUGUGGAUUGUGGGUUAGUCAUCUCAGCAAGACUCUCCAAGAUGCUGCGGGAAGGAGGGAAAUAGAUAGGUGAAGGGUCACAUAUCUGGACUUAGACAUUUUAAUCUAAAGGGGAUAAGUAUCAUUUCUGUUUACCAGACUACUACCAAAAAUUUGUGUACACCUAAGAAUAACCUGAGAAAUAUUUGGGA